AUAUCUGUUUCUUUUUAUCAUCUUUUGCUUUUUGCUUUUACUUUCUCUUUUCUCUUUUGGGCAGAUGGCAGACAAUAAUUACAUGAUAUAGCUAGGAAUUCUGUGUCCAUACUCACUGGUAUUUGACCAGGGUGUGGUCAAAAGAAAUUUUCCAGCUUUUUAAGGCAUAAAGAAGGGCAGCAAUGCCAUCAUCAGCGCCAUCAGUGGUGCCUUGGAAGUGUUGUACCACGUCGCGCCCACCAUCUGCCACGCCAUUGAGUCAAACCGUCACCGAGUCACGAACCGUCCCCACCGGGCACCGCAGUCCACAGCCGCAAGACGCUAGCCAUUUCUCCAGAUCCGGCUCUCUGAUUCACACUCACAGCAAGCUCAGGAAUGGCGAUUGUAACCUCCACUUCAUGUAUUCUUUGCUCCUGUUCUUCUCGAACAAACUUUAGCUGCUGCAUGCAUUCGUUCAAUGCAUCAUCUGAAUGAGUUGAUCUUUCAUUUGUGGAUACUCCCUGCCUCAAAGGUUCCUCUAA